rnacentral:tRNA from 1 species
GUGUACGUAAUUUAAAAAAAAUAUCAAGUUGUGACCUUGAAAAUAGAUCAACCUCGCCCACC